rnacentral:rRNA from 1 species
GACGAACGCUGGCGGCGUGCUUAACACAUGCAAGUCGAACGGAAAGGCCCUGCUUUUGUGGGGUGCUCGAGUGGCGAACGGGUGAGUAACACGUGAGUAACCUGCCCUUGACUUUGGGAUAACUUCAGGAAACUGGGGCUAAUACCGGAUAGGAGCUCCUGCUGCAUGGUGGGGGUUGGAAAGUUUCGGCGGUUGGGGAUGGACUCGCGGCUUAUCAGCUUGUUGGUGGGGUAGUGGCUUACCAAGGCUUUGACGGGUAGCCGGCCUGAGAGGGUGACCGGCCACAUUGGGACUGCGAUACGGCCCAGACUCCAACGGGAGGCAGCAGUGGGGAAUAUUGCACAAUGGGCGGAAGCCUGAUGCAGCAACGCCGCGUGCGGGAUGACGGCCUUCGGGUUGUAAACCGCUUUCGCCUGUGACGAAGCGUGAGUGACGGUAAUGGGUAAAGAAGCACCGGCUAACUACGUG